rnacentral:snRNA from 1 species
GGAUGUGAGGGCGAUCUGGCUGCGACAUCUGUCACCCCAUUGAUCGCCAGGGUUGAUUCGGCUGAUCUGGCUGGCUAGGCGGGUGUCCCCCUCCUCCCUCACCGAUCCAUGUGCGUCCCUCCCGAAGCUGCACGCUCGGUCGAAGAGGACGACCUUCCCCCCCGCCAGGAGAGGACCAGUCUUCGGUCAAGGGUAUACGAGUAGCUGCGCUCCCCUGCUAGAACCUCCAAACAAGAGUGUGUGUAAAACCUCAAGUGGCUCAUGAAGUUGUCCAGCUUCUAUGAAGCGUACAGGUUUAUGAAGAUAGUGGCCAUGCAAUGGAGUCACCAU